rnacentral:rRNA from 1 species
UACGGGGGGGGCAAGCGUUGUUCGGAAUUACUGGGCGUAAAGGGCUCGUAGGCGGCCAACUAAGUCAGACGUGAAAUCCCUCGGCUUAACCGGGGAACUGCGUCUGAUACUGGUUGGCUUGAGGUUGGGAGAGGGAUGCGGAAUUCCAGGUGUAGCGGUGAAAUGCGUAGAUAUCUGGAGGAACACCGGUGGCGAAGGCGGCAUCCUGGACCAAUUCUGACGCUGAGGAGCGAAAGCCAGGGGAGCGAACGGG